rnacentral:rRNA from 1 species
UACAGAGGGUGCGAGCGUUAAUCGGAGUUACUGGGCGUAAAGGGCGCGUAGGCGGUUUGGCAAGUGAGAUGUGAAAUCCCUGGGCUUAACCUAGGAAUGGCAUAUUAGACUGCGAGACUAGAGUGCAGUAGAGGGUGGCGGAAUUUCCGGUGUAGCGGUGAAAUGCGUAGAGAUCGGAAGGAACAUCAGUGGCGAAGGCGGCCACCUGGACUGAAACUGACGCUGAGGCGCGAAAGCGUGGGGAGCAAACAGG